UUUGUAGAACGGGCCAACGAGUUACGUUAAGUAGCAAGGUUAAGCACUUAAGGUGCGGAGCCGUAGCGAAAGCGAGUUUUAACUGAGCGUUCAGUUACUUGACGUAGACCCGAAACCGGGCGACCUACCCAUGAGCAGGAUGAAGCGAAAGUAAAAUUUCGUGGAGGUCCGAACCCACGAGCGUUGAAAAGCUCGGGGAUGACUUGUGGGUAGCGGUGAAAUUCCAAUCGAGCCCGGAGAUAGCUGGUUCUCCCCGAAAUAGCUUUAGGGCUAGCCUCAAGGUGAGAGAUACGGAGGUAGAGCACUGAAUGUCCUAGGGGGUAUUGCACCUACCGAAGACUAUCAAACUCCGAAUGCCGUCAUCUUAUACUUGGGAGUCAGACUGUGGGUGAUAAGAUUCAUAGUCGAAAGGGCAACAGCCCAGAUCGUCAGCUAAGGUCCCUAAAUGUAAGUUAAGUGGUAAAGGAUGUGGGAUUGCACAGACAACCAGGAUGUUGGCUUAGAAGCAGCCACUCAUUCAAAGAGUGCGUAAUAGCUCACUGGUCGAGUGAUCCUGCGCCGAAGAUUUCCGGGGCUAAAACUUACUACCGAAGCUACGGCAUCAGUAAUGAUGGGUAGGGGAGCUUCCCAUACGGGUUGAAGCAUGACCGUAAGGACAUGUGGACAGUAUGGGAGUGAGAAUGUUGGCAUGAGUAGCGAGAUGUGGGUGAGAAUCCCACAGGCCGUAAACCCAAGGUUUCCAGGGGAAGGUUCGUCCGCCCUGGGUUAGUCGGGACCUAAGCUGAGGCCGAAAGGCGUAGGUGAUGGACAACAGGUUGAUAUUCCUGUACUACCGAUAACCGUUUGAGAGAAGGGAUGACACAGUAGGAUAAGCUAAGCACACUGUUGGUUAUGUGUGCCCAAGCAUUGAGGCAGUCAAAGUAGGCAAAUCCGCUUUGAUAAUGCUGGGAUGUGAUGGGGAGCGAAAUUUAGUAGCGAAGUAGCUGAUUUCACACUGUCAAGAAAAGUCUCUAUCGAGGUUAAAGGUACCCGUACCGCAAACCGACACAGGUGGGUGAGGAGAGUAUCCUAAGGCCAGCGAGAGAACUGUUGUUAAGGAACUCGGCAAAAUGACCCCGUAACUUAGGGAUAAGGGGUGCCACCAUCAGGUGGCCGCAGAGAAUAGGCCCAAGCGACUGUUUACCAAAAACAUAGGUUUCUGCUAAGUCGCAAGACGAUGUAUAGGAGCUGACGCCUGCCCGGUGCUGGAAGGUUAAGGGGAUCUGUUAGAGCAAUCGAAGCAGUGAACUUAAGCCCCAGUAAACGGCGGCCGUAACUAUAACGGUCCUAAGGUAGCGAAAUUCCUUGUCGGGUAAGUUCCGACCCGCACGAAAGGCGUAACGAUUUGGGCACUGUCUCAACAACAGACUCGGUGAAAUUGUAAUUCCGGUGAAGAUGCCGGAUACCUGCGACAGGACGGAAAGACCCCAUGGAGCUUUACUGUAGCUUGACAUUGGGUCUUGGUACUACAUGUACAGGAUAGGUGGGAGGCUUUGAAACCAGGACGCCAGUUUUGGCGGAGCCAUCCUUGGGAUACCACCCUUGUAGUACUGGGACUCUAACCAUAGGCCAUGAAUCUGGUCUUGGGACACUGUCAGGUGGGCAGUUUGACUGGGGCGGUCGCCUCCCAAAAGGUAACGGAGGCGCUCAAAGGUUCUCUCAGUACGGUCGGAAAUCGUACGUAGAGUGUAAAGGCAAAAGAGAGCUUGAUUGCAAGACAUACAGGUCGAGCAAGGAUGAAAAUCGGACUUAGUGAUCCGGUGGUUCUGCGUGGAAGGGCCAUCGCUCAACGGAUAAAAGCUACCCUGGGGAUAACAGGCUUAUCUCCCCCAAGAGUCCACAUCGACGGGGAGGUUUGGCACCUCGAUGUCGGCUCAUCACAUCCUGGGGCUGUAGUAGGUCCCAAGGGUUGGGCUGUUCGCCCAUUAAAGUGGUACGCGAGCUGGGUUCAGAACGUCGUGAGACAGUUCGGUCCCUAUCCGUCGCAGGCGUAGGAAAUUUGAGAAGACCUGUCCUUAGUACGAGAGGACCGGGAUGGACGUACCUCUGGUGUACCAGUUGUCCUGCCAAGGGCAUGGCUGGGUAGCUAUGUACGGAAUGGAUAAGCGCUGAAAGCAUCUAAGCGCGAAGCCAACUUCAAGAUAAGAUUUCCCACCGCAAGGGUAAGACCCCAGAAAGACUAUCUGGUUGAUAGGUCGAAGGUGUAAGUGCAGCAAUGUAUUUAGCUUAUCGAUACUAAUAGGUCGAGGACUUGACCAA
rnacentral:rRNA from 1 species